AAAACAUGACUGAUGUUAUUACACUUUUCAAGCCGGCGCGCCUUCAGUCAUGGGGAUGUGGUUGUUUAUGGAGAGAUGGAGGAGAAGGAAGCCACCUGGUCAAGAGGGGGUCAAACUUGAAGUGUUCUGACAGAAGUAAAAUGCCACAAACCUCUCCUUAAACUUCCUGUCGAAGUGUGUCCCUGCGUCAGGGGAACUCCUCUGGAGCCAAGUGUCCUAUGUGUGUGUGUGGGGGGGCGUGUGCGCAAGGGUGUUGGAUGAAUCUCUCAGUUUUUGGAGCAGGGUGAGGGAGGGAUUGCAGCCAGGCACAUGCCUUGGGAUAUUGAGAUGGCCGGUGAUGGACAGGGCAAGACAAGGAGGAUAUCCCCUGUUUGUCUUAAGGAGCGGAGCUGCCAUGUCACACAUACUCUCGGGGGGGAAAAGUCUGUCUCCAGGAUGGAUUUCUUUGUGUGUGUGUGCAUGUGCGCGAUGUGAGGAGAAUGAGACAGAUAGGUAAUGCAUUCGGUUUAUUUUGUGCGCACAUUCAGGGUCACAGACCUAGGGGCCAUCUACUUCAAACUGGUUUAGUCAGACAAGGCAAGGCCACAUUAACACACAGCAUGACUUAGUAAUGGAGAGACCCUGAGCUUGGUGCUGCUCAUGUGGGACUACAAUAAAAAAAAAAUCAACACAUAUCUUACAUAUCUUUAUGGAAAUUACCUUUUUAAUGCCAUUACAGUCACCUUGACAAGUCGGUAAAAAUGAAAUGAAGUGAAUGUAACAGUCCUCAAACACAAGGGCUUGACCUCGACAAUAUCAAGCUGUGCAUGAAGCUCUAGGUGAAUCUUAAAUCUUGCUGUGUGUUGUUAAGUGUGUCCACAGCUGCCUGUUAAGUGGGCAAUGUUUGUGUGUAAGCGUGUGAUGUAGCAUCAGGGGGUUAAAUGGAGAGGGACGGGCCUCCAAUCUGUUAGGACAAGGAGAAAACAGCUUCAAAGACUCAACAUCAACCCUCCCCACAUACACACACACACCCGCACACUGACGGACAGUCCAUUGCUCCCAGCAUAUCUCUAUUUUGUCCUUGGACUGUCUGAAUACCACUGGAGGCGAGCAUGAUUUGAGAGAGCAAGUGGGAACAAGAGAGACAGGGAGCCAGAGAGAAGAGAAGAAAGAGCCAAAUGAUAGAGAGAAGAAGAGAGAGAGAGAAAGGAGGCGUCCCCUCAAUGACAUCUAAAGAGAUAACUCACUCUCCAGAGCUUCUUUUCUCUUGCUAUCACUUUCCCAGGCAGCACUCCAUCCACAUAAGGCCUGAGAAGGGACUGUGUGUUAACUUUAGCAAUCUGAAAUACAUGAGUGGAAGUACAACAAAUACAGCUUACUACAGGGAGAGAAAACAUGAUAUUUAGUUAUUUCUAUGUUAUCAAAAGUUUAAACAAAUGAUAAUCAGUCUGAAAAUUUCACUUUUAUAUCUGGUGGGAAAAUGCUGCCAGUUAUAUUAUGUAUUGCAAAUCUAACUAUUUUUUUCCACAAUUCAACUCAAAGUUAAAUAUUUCAAUGGAAAUAGCAUAUUUAUGUACUUGAAUGGUUUAGACAAAAUCCAGGCCUAAACCCAAUCGAGAAUCUGAGGCAAGACUUAAAGUUCCUGUUAACAUUUGGCCUCCAUUCAACAUAUUUUUUGCCAGCCACUGUAUGUCUGGAGUCAGAAAUGAUGACGUGGAAAACUAGUUUCACCAAGCGGAAAACCUGAUUUAUUUACACGAUAUUAAGUUAGACAUAUCCUUAAUGCUAUAUGUAAGCAUGCUCUUCAUAUUGGCAUUAUGUAGUUCGUUAUGAAGCUGCACUCAAAUAACUUUUUAAAUUAAUUAUGCUAGGAGCACAGUGCACAGUGCACUCAAAACUCAACGUUGAGAGAAAAACACAAAGAACUGAGUCACAGCAAUUCUACAAACACUGAAACAAAAACAGAGAAAAACACAAAGUAAUCCACUGCCACCGCUAUUGUUGGAUACGCUCCAUUUGCAGACACAGAAAACAGUAGGGAAGACUUAACCUUUUGAUAAGCUCCUACUUGUUCCCGCUGUAUGCAUUUUUCAUUGAAACAUGUGAGUCAGAAAGAGAAAGAACUUCCACACUCACUCCUCUGAGAGGAGAAAGGUUACAGCCUGCAGUCUGGUCUUAGCAAGUACACUGCAUUCUGAUUCAAUGUAAUGCUGAUUAGCAGAGAAUGACAUUAAAGAAAUAUUGAUUCUAUAUAUUCAAAAAUGAGAAAGUACAAUUAUAAAGAGUAAAGCAUCAAAUAAAAGCCUUAAGAUGUAAGAAUCUGCUGUUCUUAAGCAAAAACAUGCAAAGAGAUGUUUGAGUUGAUCUGUGGGUCUAAAAACCACAAGAUUCUAUGUAUUUUAUUCUGAUUUUAUACAAAAGACCAACAAAAGGUCCAGCAUAUCUGCAAAGUGAAAGGAAAACUAUGCAUACACAGUAAUAAAUCUAGUUGCUCUGUCAAGGUUGUAGUUCAUCUGGGAAUCCGAUAGCACUUUGAGCAACCCGCAUAUUGUUUUUAUUGCCAAUUUUCUAUUAAUUGGUCAUUUCUGAAUCAAUACAUGGAUAAUCAUAAAUAGACAAAGAUGAUUUGCUUCCCUUCAGGAGCAUUCACAGGUGAUGGGAUAAGAUGUGGGAGGUCAAGUUCUGAAAAAAAAGCCUAAUAUAUAAUAAUAAAACAUUCAUUUGAGUCAGUUAAGUUGAUGCUGGGGGACAUUCAUCAUAUACAAUAAUUACAAACCAAGAGAAAACCCAAAAAGAGAAAACACAUCAGCAGAAACUCUACACUGCAAACUGUAUACAGAAAUCACAAGUAACAUGUGAUGUGCUGAAGACAGUUCUUGAGGCAGGUAAUGUGGAAAGAGGGAAAACAAUAUUUAAAUACUAAAGUUAGAAGACAUUGGGCUCUGUAGACACACAGAGGGAAAUCAUAAGGGUGAGUGGCAAAGUAAAACUGCAGGAAGAGAAAGAAACAGCACAGCAAAGCAUAAAAUCUACCUUCUGUCCUAAUUUAAAUGGGCUAUGAAUACUGUGUUUACAACGUAUAUUUUAUGCCUUCCAGUUCAAACACAGCUUCAUCUGCACUCAGCUGCUAAGUGAUAUGAUUUCACUUUUUAUAGCAGCGCCCCCAUCCCACUCAUCCAACCCGCCACCCCCAGUUCCACUGUUAUUCAAUGUGGUGUGAUUCUGCACGCCUCGUGUGUCGACUUUCAACUGUACAACCCCCCAAGGGCCAAAGAAGCAUAUUAAAUCCCUCCCUAACCCUUUCUUGUUCCCCUCCUUAAGCAAAAUCUCCAUCCUAGAAACGCAUCUAAGCGAACAUACGCACACAACCAAGGAAACAUGCUGCAAAUGGAGAUGACUGCCUCAUAUUUUACAGCUGUUAAAGUUUCUUUCUGUAUUUAUUGCUGUGUCCAUGAGCAGUUUCUCCCGAGAUCAGAGUGGCCCUCUUUGACCUUUGUGCAGAGCUUCUCUAAUGUUGAACUAUAAUGCACAACCACUUAGGUUACUUUGGUUUAAUGAUGCCUUCACAUGCACACUUUCACACAUUCUAAUACACAUAACACAGUUGUCCAAGAUUACACUCCACAAUAAAAGCAUAAGCGUAGCGUUAAGCUCAGUGAAAGGUGCUGUGAUGGUAUCUAGGGUUACAAAUCCAAUAAACUGGCAUUAAAUGACAAAGUGAGCAUUUACUGUCACCAUAAAACAUCCAAGACAAAUUUAAAUAUUUUAUGAGAAAACCCUUGGGGGGAAAAAACAAUUUCUCUGAUGCAGUCACCAGAUUAACGUUAUGUUCAUAUCCUUUCAUAAACUACAUAAUUUUUAUUACACUUUCAUGUCAUAAUUUUUUUUCGCCUAGUGCAAAGUUACACUUCUGCACAUUUACUCCAAACCCUUCACUUGAAAUUUUUGUCCGUCAGAAGGUUCAUUUCCUACUAAAAUACGCCCUUCCAUCUCCUUCCCUCUUCUUUCUCAGUUAUCUGACUACAUACUGUUUGCGCUAGCAGAAAAUUCCCACUUCACCUCGGGGGAAAAAGGCAUUUUUUCUCUGCUGUGCUCAUCUCUCAUUCUACUCUUGUAUGUUUUCCAUGCUGGCAAAGCUUCCUUUCCCUGCAUGCAGCAGGGAGUUUGCGCCGUCUCUGGUAGUCCCAUAAGGAAACCUACAGUGUGAUGUUACAAUCUUCCAUCCAGAGGGAUCCCCUCCCUCCAACUGCUCUUUUCUUUCUUUCCCUGCAGGUUGUUCAAGUUCUUCUUAUUUUUUUUACUUCUUUGAAUGCUUUUUAGUGUCUCCCUCACUCUGUUAUUUGACUCUUAAACCUCUAACUCUACCAUAUUACUUGUAUCAGACAGUAUCAAAAUCUUAAAUUUUUUUCCGUUUAUUUUAAAUAUUACCCUGCAUUUUUAAAUAAUUAUGAAAAAGGGUUAAAAAGAGGGAAAAUGGUAGAUCUGCUUCUGUACAAAACAAUCACUUUGUAUAGAUGAACAAAGCUGAAAAUUCCUAGAAAGGUGAAAUAACUGGGAAUACUGCAUAUGCUAUUCUAAUUAUACUAUGAAUAAACAUUCCUCAAGUACACUAUCUACAGAGAAAGAGCGAAAAAGAAAUAGGCAACCCCCCCCCCCCCCCCCCCCCCCCAAAAAAAAACCCACUAGUGUCUGCAUUUUUCCUCAAAAACUCAAACAUUUACUAUGUAAAAUAUUUGAUGUCACCCCACAAGUAUUUUCAUUGGAUUAAUGUGCAACAAUUUGGGUGCACACUUCAUGAAGUUAAGCUUGUUGAUUUGGACUGGGAAGCGGAUGAUGUUUGCUUACUGGUGUGCAAUGGGUGGUUAUCUUAUAAAAUCAAAAAACAAACACCAACAUUUCAAGAGCAUUUCCUGUUCAACAUGUCCUCUUCAAGAAUUUUAAUAUCCAAACUGACCCAUGGUUCCAGUUAUGCAAUAAAUGGACUUGAGAUGAUGAUGAAGCGUCCCACCAUGCGUUAAAGUGCACAAUGAUUUCAAUUCAGAGUUUGAAAUUGUCUACAUUCUUUAGACUAAAAAAAAAAGAAAUGUACUUUUAUUCAUCCAUACAAUGUUGCUCAUUCCUUAGGCCAGUAAAUGCACUGUUUGGUAAGUUUUGCUUUCCCAUAGAAUGAAUGAUCUCAGAUUAAACUCCAGUUAUCAUUUCAUACAAACCGUUAGGAGCACAUACUGUAUAUAUAUAUACAGUAUGUGCUGUAUAUGUACUGUAUAUAUAUAUACAAUAUAUAUAUAUAUAUAUAUAUAUAUAUAUAUAUAUAUAUAUAUAUAUAUAUAUAUACAUAUAUAUAUACUUAUAUUCACUGUUUAGUCUGUUGAUUUUCUAUUCUUCCGCAAUACCUAAUAAAUUUUUUAGCAUGUAGAAAUAUAACUUCUACCACCAUGACUCUUCAAUACAUCACUAAUGUAAGCAUCAUAGAAUUCAAAGCUGAGGUCAAAGGACUUAAUAAAAAUCAAUUACCUAGAUUUUAAAAUUCAGCAAAUACAAAUGAAAAGUGAAAACAUCAAUUUAUUGUCAGUACAUGAAAGAUUCUAAAUAUACCAGGUUUUAUGAAACCAGGAUUCCAAAGAGUAGGCGAGCUCUUUUUGACAAAAUGCAGAGCCUUCAGCUAAGACUGUUGUUGAAAUUCAUUUGACCUCUUAUCUGUGGACAAGGUCUGCCGUUAAUUAAGUCCCAUGUACAGCUGCCUGUAUAGCUAUUGAGUUUGUAGAGAAAUAUAGCGAUCUGAAAUCUUCACAAUUUCCUUUCAUUGAACAGGUUUUCUUUAGUCUAUAAAGUAUCAUAUCAGCACUGUAGUCAUGUGUGGAUUGGUGUUUUUAUUUUAAUAAGAGCACUUGUGCAAAGACACAUUUUGUUCUUUUCAUCGUUUAAAUCCUUGAACAGAUCCUGCACAUGUUCAGUGUAUUGCAUGUGUCCAUCCACCUUUGAAUUUUUCCACAUUUGUCACAUUUCAAACUCAAACUUCACUGUAUUUUCUUGGAAUUUUUAUUAACUGACCAGUAUAAAAUUACAUGCAUUAAUUGACAUGAAGCACAAAAAAAAGUAAAUAAAGUUAAAAAUUUUCACUUUACAAAUAAAAGUCCAAAAAGUGUGGUUUGAAUUGG